GAUGAACGCUGGCGGCGUGCUUAACACAUGCAAGUCGAGCGAAGCGCUUAAGUUUGAUUCUUCGGAUGAAGACUUUUGUGACUGAGCGGCGGACGGGUGAGUAACGCGUGGGUAACCUGCCUCAUACAGGGGGAUAACAGUUAGAAAUGACUGCUAAUACCGCAUAAGACCACAGGGUCGCAUGACCCGGUGGUAAAAACUCCGGUGGUAUGAGAUGGACCCGCGUCUGAUUAGCUAGUUGGUGGGGUAAAUGCCCACCAAGGCUAUGAUCAGUAGCUGGUUUGAGAGGAUGAUCAGCCACAAUGGGACUGAGACACGGCCCAU
rnacentral:rRNA from 1 species